rnacentral:lncRNA from 1 species
GUAAUUUUUAUUUAGUAGGGAGAGAGGAUGGGAACCUGAAUUGUGGAACUUGCUAUCAAGUUGGGCUUAAGUCAUGCGGGUGACUUGAUUCAGGGCUUGUUUUCAAUGGCUUGGGCCUGACUCCUGACUGGGACCCCCCUUCCCCCCCAUCCCUCCUUUCAUUUCUUGUUUUUAAUAGGGACUCAGGCUUGGGACUUGGGACCAAAGGCUCAGACUUGGCCGUGAGAUCUGGACCCAAAGACUUGCCGACACCUCAGGCCGUGAGGGAAAGCUGUCCUGCUCUCCUCCUCAGCCGCGUUUUUGGAAGAAACUAAAGGGCGAUGCGGAAGGUGGGGGGGAUAUGAGAGGAGAAAUGAUGAUCCUGGACAAGUUCUUGGAAGAUAUCGAUAGUGGCACUUGUCCUUCUUCCUUAUUUGCAUCAGAGGACUGCACAAUCUAAAAUUAUGGGCUUUUACGAAAUGUAGGUUAAAAAUGAAAAGUUUGGAAAUUAUUGUCUUUUGUGGUCCUAAAAAGGACGGCUCGGUCAUUUUGCUUAUCGGCAAGUUCGCCGUGUAACACUUCUGGAAGCGAAGGACUGGCCGGCUGUCCCAAGGGAUGCCCAGGUGUGUUCACGCAAUGCUUUCCGCUCUUUGGAGAGGUUCUUUCUGUGUCCCCCCCUCCCUCAUUAUGCUUACGGAGGAAGUGGAGAACAUUCUUGCACCUAAAUGAAUUGAGAUUCUGAGGAACGUUGUGAGUGUUAUGCUCAUGCGCCUUUUAAAAAUGUAGUUCUGCUGUUGUUGUUUUUUCCUGAGCAUUUGGUAUCUAAAUGGGUGACACUGUGAUUUUUUGACCUCUCUUUUCCUCCCCCGCUCCAUCAACUCUACAGGGGUAUCUCUCCAAUGUCAGUUUUGUCAGGACACGAGCGCAACGUGUACAACUGAAUCCACUCAGGAGUGUCAGUCCAGUCAGGACGUCUGUGUUUCGGCUGUCUCAGAAGUCACCAUGAAUGGCUUGAGGGUCUCCUUGUCUUUCAAAUCGUGCCUUGACCAUCGGUUCUGCCAGGCAGGCUUUUAUACUGCCAGUGUGGAAGAAGAUGUUCCCAUUCAGACCCAGAUCACCUGCUGCCAGGAGGACCAGUGUAACCGCGGGGCUCUUCAGUUACCUGAUCCGAAAAAGCUGGUUGCCAAUGGGUUUCAAUGCCCCGGCUGUUUUUCCAUCCUUUCAGAUCGCUGUGGCAGUAAAGGAAUGGACAGCUGCACACAGAAAGAAGACCACUGUUUCAACCUGGCUGGUUCCAUCAAAAGAAGCAUUUUGAAUGGGAGGAGUGCUUUCCAAGGUUGCACGACAGCCAAGGCAUGCAGCUUCAAAAAGGAAGCAGUAAAGGCAGCAAAUCAAGUUUUUGGAGCCCAGAUUUCCCAGACUGCAAACCGGCAGAAAAAGUUUCUCCCCCCGCCCCGAGAAUCGUAGAAUGAAGAAAAUGAAGACAUCCUGAAUGUAGAACAUUGUCUAGUGCUGAAGACCAGAGAGAUUUCAAUAAGAGGACUGGUUGCUCUUGGUGGCUGCGCUGAGCCGCUGUGACUGGCAUUGCCAACUUUUUUAGCAGCCUCUGCUCCUGGAAUGACAUUUGUCUGCUGUGUGAAUGCUCUUGAAAGAAACAGGCUGUGGGACGAUAGCAUUUGCACAUUGCAAGCUGGGUUUGGAUGCAAAGUUGAUGCACACACCCUCUAACUCAACGCGGGGUGCAAGGGAAUGGACAAUUGUGGACAAUUUCAAUAGGAUAUCACUGCCCUCUAUCGGGGAGGGAGACCCAUUGCAGGGAGAACCAAGUCCUGUGCACAGAGGAUACUUGGUGGUCAAAUGUCCUGCAGCCAAUAGCUUUGCAGGGUUGUACAAUGGAGGUGGUGGUUUUUUUUUUUUCCUAUGACAAAAGGAAGGGGCAAAGGAACCUCUGUUUGCCAGAUAAAACUCGUAAUGUUUGGAAAAUAUCAUCUCUUGAUUAGUUAAACAAUUCGCAAUGAAAUUUCAUUGUUCUACCAGCAAGCUCAGGGAGAAUCGCACGGCUUCCUCCAUUAUCCUCACAACAUCUCUUUGAGGUAGACGAGGCAAAGAGAAUAUGACUGGCCUGGAGAUCUGAGCCAAGAUCUCCCAACUCAAUACUCCUUUUCUGACAACAACACACUGCUAGAUAGCUCAGUGGUUCAGUUCUCUGAUUGUGGAGCCAGAGGUUGGGAGUUCGAUUCCCCCACUGUUCCUCCCUGUUCAGGGCCGGGCUUGAUGAUCCCUAGGGUCCCACCAGCUCUACAAUUCUAAGAUGAUGAUGAUGCAUUUACUUAUGCAUCACCUCCAGAGUCGAUCCUGCAGCCACACAGAGAGCACAUGGUUAUAGUACUGGAAAAACUGCUCACCCUUUUCAGCUCCAUGAUUUGUUCAAUUGUGAGACUAUAUCUCGGAACCCAAGGGAAAAUUUACAAAGGACAGGACGAGCGUGUUGCGCACGUCAUAUGGAUGUCGUUGAGUCCUAAGAAUUCCGGUGAGGAAUCCUCUACUUUCUGAGACCAGUAUUCUGUUGCUAGACACUAUUUGAGUCAACCCAUUGACUGAGUGGGAUUUACAUAAAGUGUUGGCUUAUCAUUGAGACUGAGGUUAGAAACAGAAUUUGGGUCAAAGCAUUUUUGUUAAAAAUGGUCAAAACUGGGAUCCAGAGGCACCCCAGACCUUACCAUACUGUUAACAACAAGGCUGUGAAUCCAUUGAAUAAAAUCAUCCAAAUACACA